UACAGAGGUCUCAAGCGUUGUUCGGAUUCAUUGGGCGUAAAGGGUGCGUAGGCGGCGAGGCAAGUCGGAUGUGAAAUCUCAGGGCUCAACCCUGAAACUGCAUUCGAUACUGCCUUGCUCGAGGACUGGAGAGGAGAUUGGAAUUCACGGUGUAGCAGUGAAAUGCGUAGAUAUCGUGAGGAAGACCAGUGGCGAAGGCGGAUCUCUGGACAGUUCCUGACGCUGAGGCACGAAGGCCAGGGGAGCAAACGGG
rnacentral:rRNA from 1 species